UGUUAAGCGUUGCAGUCGGGAUGAAAAUGAAACAAGCCAGAAUCAAUGCAAUUUUUCACAGUAAAAUAUAUGAGUGUAAUGGGUAAUUCUGUUCGCUACACACCGUGAUGAGCAGUAAGUUUAUGUAUACACAGGUGUGUGUACUUAAAUUCCAAGGAUGGCAAAGAUGAUUAAAAGAUUCUUCUGAAACCGACCGGUUUCUCGCUUGUUCCAAGCAAGGAAUCCCAUGCACCAGCGAAGUGCUGCCGUUUCGUGACGCUGAGCCUCGUGGCUACAUCUAGGGUCACAGAAAGACUGCACGGCAAUGGAGUAAGGCCGUCUUCACAGGGGACAAGCAUGAGCUGAGGAACCAGCGUGAGGACACUGCCCUGCUGAAGGUGGAGGGGGGGGGUCUAAGUCCAAGGAGACUUCCGUCUACGAGGCCAAAAAGACUCCUUGGGGCAAAGCUCAUCUUGGGGCCCCACGUUCCCACGGCAACGGUUCCUGCCACGUAUCAGCCGCAAAAUGGCAGCCCGGGUACCGUCUCCGAGUGGUGCUGAACCCAUUGCCGGGGUGUUUGCCGUUAUGUACAAACAAUAAAUACUCUGAUCCAAA